AUUGAACGCUGGCGGCAUGCUUUACACAUGCAAGUCGAACGGCAGCGCGGGCUUCGGCCUGGCGGCGAGUGGCGAACGGGUGAGUAAUACAUCGGAACGUGCCCAGUAGUGGGGGAUAGCUCGGCGAAAGCCGGAUUAAUACCGCAUACGACCUGAGGGUGAAAGCGGGGGAUCUUCGGACCUCGCGCUAUUGGAGCGGCCGAUGGCAGAUUAGCUAGUUGGUGGGGUAAAGGCCUACCAAGGCGACGAUCUGCAGCUGGUCUGAGAGGACGACCGGCCACACUGGGACUGAGACACGGCCCAGACUCCUACGGGAGGCAGCAGUGGGGAAUUUUGGACAAUGGGCGAAAGCCUGAUCCAGCAAUGCCGCGUGUGUGAUGAAGGCCUUCGGGUUGUAAAGCACUUUUGGCGGGAACGAAAAGGACUGUGCCAAUACCACGGUUCGAUGACGGUACCCGCAGAAUAAGCACCGGCUAACUACGUG
rnacentral:rRNA from 1 species